GAUGAACGCUGGCGGCGUGCCUAAUACAUGCAAGUCGAGCGAACAGACGAGGAGCUUGCUCCUUUGACGUUAGCGGCGGACGGGUGAGUAACACGUGGGUAACCUACCUAUAAGACUGGGAUAACUUCGGGAAACCGGAGCUAAUACCGGAUAAUAUUUCGAACCGCAUGGUUCGAUAGUGAAAGAUGGCUUUGCUAUCACUUAUAGAUGGACCUGCGCCGUAUUAGCUAGUUGGUAAGGUAACGGCUUACCGAGGCAACGAUACGUAGCCGACCUGAGAGGGUGAUCGGCCACACUGGAACUGAGACACGGUCCAGACUCCUACGGGAGGCAGCAGUAGGGAAUCUUCCGCAAUGGGCGAAAGCCUGACGGAGCAACGCCGCGUGAGUGAUGAAGGUCUUCGGAUCGUAAAACUGUGUUAUUAGGGAAGAAUAAACGUGUAAGUAACUGUGCACGUCUUGACGGUACCUAAUCAGAAAGCCACGGCUAACUACGUG
rnacentral:rRNA from 1 species